CCUACGGGAGGCAGCAGUGAGGAAUAUUGGUCAAUGGACGAGAGUCUGAACCAGCCAAGUAGCGUGAAGGAUGAAUGCCCUAUGGGUUGUAAACUUCUUUUAUAUGGGAAUAAAAUAGGGUAUGCAUACCCUCUUGUAUGUACCAUAUGAAUAAGGAUCGGCUAACUCCGUGCCAGCAGCCGCGGUAAUACGGAGGAUCCGAGCGUUAUCCGGAUUUAUUGGGUUUAAAGGGAGCGUAGGUGGAUUGUUAAGUCAGUUGUGAAAGUUUGCGGCUCAACCGUAAAAUUGCAGUUGAAACUGGCAGUCUUGAGUACAGUAGAGGUGGGCGGAAUGCGUGGUGUAGCGGUGAAAUGCUUAGAUAUCACGCAGAACUCCGAUUGCGAAGGCAGCUUGCUGGACUACAACUGACACUGAUGCUCGAAAGUGUGGGUAUCGAACAGGAUUAGAUACCCUUGUAGUC
rnacentral:rRNA from 1 species